AUUGAACGCUGGCGGCAUGCCUUACACAUGCAAGUCGAACGGCAGCACGGGGGCAACCCUGGUGGCGAGUGGCGAACGGGUGAGUAAUACAUCGGAACGUGUCCUGUCGUGGGGGAUAACCAGUCGAAAGACUGGCUAAUACCGCAUGAGAUCGAGAGAUGAAAGCAGGGGACCGCAAGGCCUUGCGCGAUUGGAGCGGCCGAUGUCGGAUUAGCUAGUUGGCGGGGUAAAAGCCCACCAAGGCGACGAUCCGUAGCUGGUUUGAGAGGACGACCAGCCACACUGGGACUGAGACACGGCCCAGACUCCUACGGGAGGCAGCAGUGGGGAAUUUUGGACAAUGGGGGCAACCCUGAUCCAGCCAUGCCGCGUGUGUGAAGAAGGCCUUCGGGUUGUAAAGCACUUUCGGACGGAACGAAAUCGCACGGGUGAAUAUCCCGGGUGGAUGACGGUACUGUAAGAAGAAGCACCGGCUAACUACGUGCCAGCCGCCGCAGUAA
rnacentral:rRNA from 1 species